CGUAAAAAUAAAACUGGGAGUAGGAUAGAAUUUUUUUAAAUUCAUCGUCCCACUCCCAACUUGCUUUGCUUGUAGAAUUUCUUAAUGAAAUUCUCUUUGCUUGGGCCUCACUCGCAAGGAUGACUACAACUGAAAAAGCUUGAUUUUAAGCACCUUUUCAGUUCAGUCAGCUACUACGAAUUUGAAAAUUCGCAUCAU
rnacentral:ncRNA from 1 species